rnacentral:rRNA from 1 species
AGUAGGGAAUAUUGGUCAAUGGGCGGAAGCCUGAACCAGCCAUGCCGCGUGCAGGAAGACGGCCCUCUGGGUUGUAAACUGCUUUUGAUAGGGAACAAAUGCCAAUUGCGAUUGGAGCUGAGUGUACCUAUAGAAUAAGCACCGGCUAACUCCGUGCCAGCAGCCGCGGUAAUACGGAGGGUGCAAGCGUUGUCCGGAUUUAUUGGGUUUAAAGGGUGCGUAGGCGGCCUAAUAAGUCAGUGGUGAAAGCCUCCAGCUUAACUGGAGAACUGCCAUUGAUACUGUCGGGCUUGAGUAUACUUGAGGUAGGCGGAAUUGACAGUGUAGCGGUGAAAUGCAUAGAUAUUGUCAAGAACACCAAUUGCGAAGGCAGCUUACUAAAUUAUAACUGACGCUGAGGCACGAAAGUGUGGGUAUCAAA